rnacentral:lncRNA from 1 species
CCUUAGCACCAUGCAAAAGUGAGUUUCUUCAGUCCUCUGUCAUGAAGUAUGGAAGAAUGAAUUUUGAGUAUUACUUCUGAGCGGGUGCAGUGCUGUAGGGGGUGUCCAAUAGGCCACUGGAAGCAUUAGAGCGUCCGACAGCGGCAGCUGAUGGCAGCAGAGUGAUACGAGUCUGUGUAUAAGUGGCGGUGCUUAGAGCUGAGUGAAUUCCUUUUAGGGACAAAAAAUCCAUGUCUCAACUUUUGCAGCUGAUAGCAUUUUGUUUGCUGAUGCCUCUUUGCCCUGCAGAAUGCAGAGCUGUCAGGCAGACCGGGAGGUCCUUUGCUGCCAUCGGAGCAGGAAUGAGACCAGUAGUGCUUUGUAAGCUGAUGCAAACCGCCUUGCAGUGAAGCGCGGCCUUGCAGAAAGGAAGGGGAGGAGCAUGGAGUGUGGCAUGGCACUGAAGAGAGGUACAGCCAUAUAGCAG